UACAGUGAUGAUACUCCUAAAAUAGGAAGUGCCGUCAGAUGCGAAAACUGAUGAUGCUGAUUUUCACUGCUGAUG